UGUUGUGUUAAAUUAACCAGGGAAGUAUUCAUUCGAUUCUAUUUCAAUGGAAAUGGAGCAGAAUUAUUGACACACAAGUGGCACAACGGUACAGACUGUUAAUGUUAUCUGUGACACUCACAAUAAUUUGCAGUAGGAAGACAAAAAAUCUACUGACACAGUGACAGUGUUUACAUUUUGCAUUAUUUUUCUGAUUCAACCUGAUGAAUGGUGUGUACUCAUUGAAUACAUGUACUGUAUAUGAAAUUAAUGAAGCAGUAAUUUGACAAAUACAAGCAAUGAAUGAGAUAUUGUUCAUUGAUUAAAAUAUGGAAUUUUUUUUUUUGGUGUCCUUCACAAAUGAGACAAUUAAUCCUUCAGAUGUAAAAGAAUGCUUCAAGGUCAACAGAAUAUGAUUGAAAUUAUAAAGGUUAGUAAUGCAGUUUCUUAUUAUUGAUAUAUUGUGAUGUCUUGCACUAAUCAGUGUUUGUUUUGUAUUAUAUUUCAGAUAUAAUAGUAUGAAUAUUGAGAUGAUUAUUUAGUUACCUUCAACUGGUCAGUGGUCAAAAGGGAGUAUUUCUGUGUGUCUUGAAGCAUUGAAUGCCCCAAAACAACCAGUAUGAUAAGAAGACCAGAGUAUACAGCUUCCCAAAAUGUUGAAAGACUAAGCUGUAUUUCUAUGGACU
rnacentral:lncRNA from 1 species